AGCGAAGCUUGCUUUGCUCCGCCGGCGACCGGCGCACGGGUGAGUAACGCGUAUGCAACCUGCCCGUUUCAGCGGGAUAACCCGGAGGAAUCCGGCCUAAUACCGCAUGUGGCCGAGGGAAGGCAUCUUCUUUCGGCCAAAGGAGGCGACUCCGGAGACGGAUGGGCAUGCGUGACAUUAGCUUGUUGGCGGGGUAACGGCCCACCAAGGCGACGAUGUCUAGGGGUUCUGAGAGGAAGGUCCCCACACUGGUACUGAGACACGGACCAGACUCCUACGGGAGGCAGCAGUGAGGAAUAUUGGUCAAUGGGCGAGAGCCUGAACCAGCCAAGUCGCGUGAAGGAUGACGGCCCUACGGGUUGUAAACUUCUUUUGUCAGGGAGCAAUUGGGUCCACGCGUGGGCUUAGCGAGAGUACCUGAAGAAAAAGCAUCGGCUAACUCCGUGCCAGCAGCCGCGGUAAUACGGAGGAUGCGAGCGUUAUCCGGAUUUAUUGGGUUUAAAGGGUGCGUAGGCGGAAUAUCAAGUCAGCGGUAAAAAUUCGGGGCUCAACCCCGUCGUGCCGUUGAAACUGAUGUUCUUGAGUGGGCGAGAAGUAUGCGGAAUGCGUGGUGUAGCGGUGAAAUGCAUAGAUAUCACGCAGAACUCCGAUUGCGAAGGCAGCAUACCGGCGCCCAACUGACGCUGAAGCACGAAAGCGUGGGUAUCGAACAGGAUUAGAUACCCUGGUAGUCCACGCAGUAAACGAUGAAUGCUAAUUGUCCGGAGGGAUUGACCUCUGGGUGAUACAGCGAAAGCGUUAAGCAUUCCACCUGGGGAGUACGCCGGCAACGGUGAAACUCAAAGGAAUGA
rnacentral:rRNA from 1 species